AUGACGACAGACCAGCCAGUGAUCAGCCUGCGCCCCGGCGGCGGCGGCGGCGGGCCCCGCGGCGGCCGCCUCUUCGCCCCCGCCUUCGCGGUCGCCGCCUCCGGCUCCGGCGACUUCCUCCGCCCGCACGGCGGCGGCGCCUCCGGCGUCUCCAGGAUUGGUGACUUGCAUUCUGAGACACGUGAGCGUGUUCGUUAUUCAAGAGAUCAACUUCUUGACCUGCGCAAGAUUACUGAUGUAACCGAGCAAAUCUUGAGGCUUCAGCAAGAAAUUGAAGCAGAGCUUCAUGGUGACGAUCAGAGCUGGGUUCGCAAUGAUUCAAAUGUGCAAUUGCAGACACAGGCACAGCCACAAGUACAAGCUCAAAACCGGUUUACUGAGACAGAUAACCGUGACUGGCGUGCACGCACAGAGAAACCUCCAGCACCAGCAGUUCAGGAAGAGAAGUCUUGGGACAACAUUCGUGAGGUUAAAGAACAGUACAAUGCAAGUGGCAGGCAGCAAGAGCAGUUUAACAGGCAAGAUCAAUCGAGCUCCCAGAAAGCUCAGGUUGGCCCCCCUCCUGCUCUUAUCAAGGCUGAUGUACCUUGGUCAGCCCGAAGAGGCAAUCUCUCGGAGAAAGACAGAGUCCUGAAAACAGUGAAAGGUAUACUAAACAAACUGACGCCAGAGAAAUUUGAUCUACUCAAGGGCCAACUGCUAGAUUCUGGAAUUACUACUGCUGAUAUUUUGAAGGAUGUUAUCUCUCUCAUAUUUGAGAAGGCUGUUUUUGAACCGACGUUCUGUCCGAUGUAUGCUCAACUUUGUUCUGAACUCAAUGACAACCUCCCGACAUUCCCUUCUGAAGAACCAGGCGGUAAAGAGAUUACAUUCAAACGUGUGCUGUUGAACAAUUGUCAGGAAGCUUUUGAAGGUGCUGACAGCCUGAGGGUUGAGAUUGCAAGUUUGACUGGCCCUGACCAAGAGAUGGAGAAAAGAGACAAAGAAAGGAUCUUCAAACUUAGAACACUUGGAAAUAUUCGUCUGAUUGGUGAGCUACUCAAGCAAAAGAUGGUUCCUGAGAAGAUCGUUCAUCACAUUGUCAAGGAGCUACUGGGGUCUGAUAAAAAGGCUUGCCCUGAUGAGGAACACGUCGAAGCAAUUUGUCAGUUCUUCAAUACGAUUGGUAAACAGCUUGAUGAGAACCCAAAGUCUCGCCGAAUCAAUGAUACCUACUUCGUCCAGAUUAGGGAGCUAGUAGCGAACCCUCAGUUGACCCCACGUUCCAAGUUCAUGGUCCGGGAUUUGAUUGAUCUCCGUUCUAACAACUGGGUGCCUCGACGUGCUGAGAUUAAGGCGAAGACAAUCAGCGAGAUCCACACAGAGGCUGAAAAGAACCUUGGAUUACGUCCAGGGGCCACAGCGAACAUGAGGAAUGGCCGUAAUGCACCAGGUGGGCCUCUUUCGCCUGGAGGUUUUUCAGUGAACCGGCCAGGAACUGGAGGUAUGAUGCCUGGGAUGCCUGGAUCUAGAAAAAUGCCUGGGAUGCCUGGGUUAGAUAAUGAUAACUGGGAAGUUCAGCGUUCUAGAUCAAUGCCAAGAGGUGACCCGCUUCGCAACAACCAGGGUCCGUUGAUUAAUAAGGUUUCAUCUAUUAACAAGCCAUCACCCAUCAACCCCAGGCUUCUUCCUCAAGGCACUGGAGCACUGAUUGGCAAGAGUGCACUCUUGGGCACCGGUGGUCCACCAUCCCGCCCUUCCAGCCUUGCGGCUAGCCCCACUCCUUUACCAGCUCAAACUACAGCAUCACCAAAACCAUCAAGUGCAACUCCAGCUUCUGUACCUAUUCCUGACAAAGCAGCCAGUUCUGCCAAGGUGAUCCCUGCAGGGCUUCAGAAGAAGACAGCAUCUCUUCUUGAGGAGUAUUUUGGUAUUCGUAUUUUGGAUGAAGCACAACAAUGUAUCGAGGAGCUGCAGAGGCCUGAUUACCACCCUGAGAUUGUUAAAGAAGCUAUCAAUCUUGCUCUGGAUAAAGGUGCCAGUUUUGUUGACCCUCUUGUUAAGCUUCUGGAGCAUCUGUACACCAAGAAAACUUUCAAGACUGAAGAUCUGGAAAAUGGUUGCUUGCUAUAUGGGUCGCUGUUGGAAGAUAUUGGUAUUGACCUUCCUAAAGCUCCAACGCAAUUUGGUGAAGUGGUUGCUCGUCUGAUUCUGUCGUGUGGCCUGAGAUUUGAAGCCGUAGAGGGGAUUCUAAAGGCAAUGGAGGAUACCUUCUUCCGCAAAGCAAUAUUCACCGCCGUGACGAAAACCCUAGAAGCAGACCCAGCAGGUCAGGCCAUAUUGAGCUCACAUGCUGCCGUAGUCGACGCGUGCAACAGCCUCUCGAUAUAA
rnacentral:rRNA from 1 species